AAACUUUUUGCCUGCACAAGAAAUGGGGCUAUAUAAAAGCAUGUCAGUUUUGAGCCUUCUUUAAACUUCUGAUCAAUCUCACAUAAAAUAGGGCGGUAAAUAUUUCAUACAAGAACAGUUCUUUCUGCAGGAUUAAGUGUGAUGGAUUCUGAAUUUAGAGACUCUUCAACUUCAAUUCCAUUUUUCAAUUUGUUGUGCAAGCCCUAUG
rnacentral:misc_RNA from 1 species